rnacentral:rRNA from 1 species
CCAAGGAGUCCGACACGUGCGCGAGUCAUGGGGUCCUACGAAACCCAAAGGCGCAACGAAAGUGAACGGCAAGAUCCCCACCGUAGGUGGACGGGGCGCAUUGCCCACCUGUCUGUUGAUCAGGCGGCGUGUGAGCGCACGUGUCGGGACCCGAAAGAUGGUGAUCUAUGCCUGAGGGGGAUGAAGCCAGAGGAAACUCUGGUGGAGGUCCUUAGCGAUUCUGACGUGCAAAUCGAUCGUGUCACUUGGGUAUAGGGGCGAAAGACCAAUCGAACCAUCUAGUAGCUGGUUCCCUCCGAAGUUUCCCUCAGGAUAGCUGGCGCUCGAGUUACGCAGUUGCAUCCGGUAAAGCGAAUGAUUAGAGGUCAUGGGGGCCUAGCGUCCUCGUCCUAUUCUCAAACUAUAAAUCGGGUGUGAUGCCGCGCCUCUCCCUGAGUA